GAUGAACGCUGGCGGCGUGCUUAACACAUGCAAGUCGAACGGACAGAGGGAGCUUGCUCCCAAAGUUAGUGGCGGACGGGUGAGUAACGCGUGGGUAACCUGCCCUAUGCAGGGGGAUAACAAUGAGAAAUCAUUGCUAAUACCGCACAACCUAAGAAGUUUGCAUGAACUUCUUAGAAAAGGUUUAUCGGCAUAGGAUGGACCCGCGUUAGAUUAGCUAGUUGGUGAGCUAACAGACCACCAAGGCAACGAUAUAUAGCCGGCCUGAGAGGGAGAACGGCCAAACUGGGACUGAGACACGGCCCAGACUCCUACGGGAGGCAGCAGUGGGGAAUAUUGCACAGUGGGCGCAAGCCUGAUGCAGCGACGCCGCGUGAAGGAUGAAGGUCUUCGGAUCGUAAACUUCUAUCAGCAGGGAAGAAAUAUGACGGUACCUGACUAAGAAGCCCCGGCUAACUACGUGCCAGCAGCCGCAGUAA
rnacentral:rRNA from 1 species